UUCACUUCCUGACAACUUCCUUGAUAACAAACAUGAACUUUGACCAAAGGCUAUCAGAACAAGUUCACAAAUAAAAAAACAUUUCCGAUACCUCGUGUAAGGAAUUUCAAAGACACAGAAAUUAGUUUGAACUCCUGGAAAGAGAUCGGGGAUUUGUGGUAAUUUGUCAAAUCCGUCACAAUUGAUGUAUAACAGGCCCACAAUUUGGUUUCUAAAAUCGGAUUAUAUUUGUCUGUUUUCACUGCAUAACAUUUAGAAGUUGUCCCUUUUCAGGUUUAGAAAAACGAACUCAUUCGUAUCAGCAUACAGAAAGAGAAAGUGGUAAUUAAAGUAGUUUUUACCCGUAAUGCAGUUGAUUGAUGAUGACAUCAAUGUAUUGGGGUUGACAGAUUCUGACCCCAACAUAGUGUGGAAUACACAUAUAAACAAUAGACUAAAUGUAGAAUAAUUUUGCUGUGAAACAAUGAGGAGAUUCGUGGGGGGAAACGGUGCAGUCGUUUUACAUCAUGCUAUCUUGGCUGAGCUCCUGUGUCAAGCACUGGGAAACGGACUCCAACAGGUAGUUGGAUAGCUCCAGGUUCUUGCAGAGGAGGUAGCAGAAAUGAGAGACUGAAAACGCGUGCAUCCAGUUGUGAUAUGGAGGAUCCCUGUAGCCUCUCUUCACCAUCAGACAAAACCUGGCCAGCGUGUUCAUGUUGAUCUUGUAGGUGUUUAUGAAGCCCAUGUCCUCAAACAUGCUGAUCACGGCCUAGGAACAGGAGGCAUAAUCGAGAGACAUGAGAAAACAGAAAUAAUACACACUACCAGUGUCUUUCUCCAAGAUUGUGUGUUGACUGUCUCACUGUGGGUGUACUAUCGUCUGACAGGGAGCGAGGUGUGUAGGUGAAGCUGGAGAAGCUGGGGUGUAUUUCCCCUACAGCCUGGAUGCCCACAGUCAGUAGCCGGGUCACUUCCUCGUCUGACACCUGAGGGACAGGGUCAAAGGUCAGGACAUUAACUGCCAAAUAUAACAAAAUGGCUGGAUCUGCAUUCAUAGAUUGAAGAGAUAAGUUGAAUAGGUUGAAGAAGAGCUCUGAUUGGAUGCUUUACCAUCAUGUGGUACUUCAUCAUCUCAUUGGCCAGCUGACUCCUAAACUGUGCUUCAUCGACCCUCUUAUACAGGAGGGACUGAGGAACAGAAAGCACAGGAGUCAUUCAGCAUGAUGACAAUAUUGUUGAUGACAAAUUAUCGUUAAACAAUUUAUCAAUAUCCACAGUAAGGACGAUAACUUUAACUUUUUGGUAUUUAUUAUUGUUCUAAUUCAAGUGAACAGGAGCCUUCAUAGUACAACGACAACUACAAAAAGAGUGGGGAACGAUUACAAGAGCUAUCGUUUGGAUCACUUUCAAAGCGAUUUUUUUUCCAUAUCCCUUUGAUGAUAAAAAAUUGACAACCAAUCGAAAAAGCAUUCUCUUGAAGUUUUCUUGGUUCUAGGUGCGCGAGGCUGCUCGGGGAAGAGAGACGGCUGAGUGCAUGGCACAGGCGAGGGCCACAACCUUGGUGGUGGCCCGACACUCAACAGGAACACACAGCAUAGAGAGAACUUCAAAUCCCAGAGUGCUGUUCAGCUGCUGGUGUUCCUCCUACAGUAUCAGCCCAGAGAAGAAGUGAAAGGGGCAGAGAUGUAGAGAACACGAGCAUCAAACACAUCCAAACCUACUACUUACUGUAAGACUACAAAACACCACAAUACUGAUCAGGAACAUUUCAGUGUUCUUACUGGAGUGACAUCUUGCAGGGAGGUGCUCUUCCUCUUCUCCACAGCCUGACCAAGGUGGCCAAAUGUCAGCUGGACCCCAGACAGAUAGACAGGGUCAGGCUGAGUAAGGGGCAGCAGCAGGGGCACAGGUGGUAAUGUCAGAGGGGAAGAAGGGCUGUGUUGUGUAACUUACUGGGAAACUGAUCUCUGCCUUCAGAACCGUGUCUCCAACUACCUGAGGAAUAACAAAGACAUCCAACAAACAUGUUAUUGUUUGUUUAUUUUUGCAACUUUUGCUUUGUUUUAGAAUAUUGAAUAUUGUGUGUGUACAGUAUGUGUACCUGACAGAACAGCUGUUGGUUAUCCUCUGAUACCAGAAGUAAACAGCAGCACAAUGA